rnacentral:rRNA from 1 species
UGGGGAAUAUUGGACAAUGGGCGCAAGCCUGAUCCAGCCAUGCCGCGUGAGUGAUGAAGGCCCUAGGGUUGUAAAGCUCUUUUGUGCGGGAAGAUAAUGACGGUACCGCAAGAAUAAGCCCCGGCUAACUUCGUGCCAGCAGCCGCGGUAAUACGAAGGGGGCUAGCGUUGCUCGGAAUCACUGGGCGUAAAGGGUGCGUAGGCGGGUCUUUAAGUCAGGGGUGAAAUCCUGGAGCUCAACUCCAGAACUGCCUUUGAUACUGAAGAUCUUGAGUUCGGGAGAGGUGAGUGGAACUGCGAGUGUAGAGGUGAAAUUCGUAGAUAUUCGCAAGAACACCAGUGGCGAAGGCGGCUCACUGGCCCGAUACUGACGCUGAGGCACGAAAAGCGUGGGGAGCAAAACA